AGAGGCUGCAUUCCUUCCCCAGAAGGGAAGGCAGACAAGGACAAGAGACUGACUGAGGAGAGGAGUAGCAGGACCCAGUGUCACCUAUAAGGAUUCGCCUUGCCCCAAACCUGAGUCUCCAAAGCUAAAAAAGGACUGAGCCUACUAAGGUGAACAAGGUA